UGUCCUAUAUUUAUGUCAUAUUAACCCGGGUUCGAUCCUUUCCUUUGCAUUUUUUUUUUACGAAAAAAUGAAUGAGAUGACGUGGCAACUUCGGACUAUCUGAUUGGACGAUUUUUUAUGCCUACGUGGACACUUUAAAAAGAGGUUAUAUCCCCCUUUUAGUAUAGUAUAGAUUUAGUUUAAAGUUAGUUGUAACAUUAAGAAGAUAUUAAAUUAUCAAUAUAUAAAGCAGAUGGUUGAUUUAUAUUAUUAAAAAUAUUUUGUUUCCACUUUUAAUCUUUUGAUCUAAACAUAUAUAUAGAAAAUAUUUUGGUUUUUUUAUUUUAUUUUUUUUAUUUAUUAUAUUAUUUAAGGUAAAAUAUUUUAAAAAUUAUCUUCUUUAAAAAUAUAUUCAUUAUUAGUUAUUAAAUAAAAUAUCGAAAUUAUAUAUAUACAUAUAUAUACAAUUUCCACAUUUUAGUAGUUUAAGAAAAUAUUAUGAUAAGAAAAAAGGAACUUAAAAGCAAAAAAUUAUGAAACAAAAAGAAAAAUAAAAUAAAAAAAUUAUAAUAAUGGCAUUAUACAUAAUAUUUUCAAUUCAUUAAGAAUACUUUUGUAAUUGACUACUCUAAAAUUAACAUGAAAACUACACAUAAGAAACUGACUUCUCAAAUAAUAUUAUAGAGAUAUAAAUAUAUAUUUUUUUGAAAUGGCUUAGGGCAUUAUAAUAUGUUAGACCGGCACUGUUGGCCGCUCAGAGAUCUCCUGCGGUUGCUGGAGGAUGAGAGUCUGAUGUCCGGGAACGGCAAGCUACGGCUCGAUCCUCCGGUAUAAACAGAAUCGUAUAUAAGGAGGUGGUGAUGGAGAUUCAUAGAAACUGAGAUUCUCUGUUUCUUUGUUGAGGGAAAAAUCGAAAAAGAUUUCACAGCCUGCGUUGGGAAAAACCUCCUCCAAGACCAAAGAAGAUACCAAAGAACUUUUCAGAAUCGAAUGAAUGUAAGUUCCCAGCUUUCUUUGUUGCUUAACAUUUUCAUUAUUGGUUGCCGACUCUUUUUUCCUGGAUUGUGGCUAGGAGAGGAAGUAACAACUGGCUCUAUGAGUUAAUGACGUCCAGGAGGCUGGGGAGACAUGAUCAAGGUGUGAUCAUUGGUUUCAUCACUUUAGAGUCCACAAAUUCAUGUUCUAUCAACUUUGUGUUCUACUUUUGAAUAUUUUCAGUUGUAAAACGGAAGAACAAAUAUAGCAAAUGUGCCAAUUUUUAGUGAAUGAAGCUAUUUUACUUGUGUUUCUUAAUAUUCUUUUCUUUGUUUUUGUAAAGAAGACAAGUGGAGUUUUUAUUACCAGAGCUAAUUAUAAUCUCCAGC
rnacentral:lncRNA from 1 species